rnacentral:rRNA from 1 species
GGAGUUUGGGCCGUGUCUCAGUCCCAAUGUGGCCGGUCACCCUCUCAGGUCGGCUACUGAUCGUCGCCUUGGUGGGCCGUUACCUCACCAACCAGCUAAUCGGACGCGGGUCCAUCUCAUACCACCGGAGUUUUUCACACUGUACCAUGCGGUACUGUGCGCUUAUGCGGUAUUACCAGUCGUUUCCAACUGCUAUCCCCCUGUAUGAGGCAGGUUACCCACGCGUUACUCACCCGUCCGCCGCUAACCAGUCAUGAGUUCAUAGCAAGCUAAUCACUCAAUCAGGUCCGCUCGACUUGCAUGUGUUAGGCACGCCGCCAGCGUUCAUC